CCCUCAGCCCCGGAGACGCCGCCACGGCGGAGCCCGGAGCCCCCCUGCCUGAGGCGCCCGCGGCCCGGAUCCGGCCCCUCCCCUCCCAGGUGCGGACCGCCGGGCGGGCGGGCGCGGCAGAUUUUAUCAUGUGGGCAACCUGCUGCAACUGGUUCUGCUUGGAUGGACAGCCUGAGGAGGCCCCACCGGCCCAGGGAGCCAGGACGCAGGCCUAUUCCAACCCUGGGUACAGCUCCUUCCCUUCCCCAACAGGCUCGGAACCAAGCUGCAAGGCUUGUGGGGCCCACUUCGCAAACACGGCCAGGAAGCAGACCUGCCUGGACUGCAAGAAGAAUUUCUGCAUGACCUGUUCGAGCCAAGUGGGGAACGGCCCCCACCUCUGCCUCCUCUGCCAGCGGUUCCGAGCCACAGCCUUUCGGCGGGAGGAGCUCAUGAAGAUGAAGGUGAAGGACCUGAGGGACUAUCUCAGCCUCCAUGACAUCUCUACCGAAAUGUGCCGGGAGAAAGAGGAGUUGGUGCUCUUGGUGCUUGACCAGCAGCGUGUACUUUCUCAGGAGGGCAGGACUCGUGCCCCCCCCUUGUCCCCCGACUUCCCCGAGCAGCAGGCCUUCCUGGCCCAGGCUCACGCCGGCACAGUACCUCCUACCUCGGCAAGCCUCCCCUCUUCGCCCGCACAAGCCACGUCUGUGUCCCCAGCCCCGGCUCAGGAAAGCCAGCAGGCCAAUGGCCAUGUGUCUCAGGACCAAGAGGAGCCCGUCUACCUGGAGAGCACAGCCAGAGCACCUGCUGAGGAUGAGACCCAGUCUGUCGACUCAGAGGACAGCUUCGUCCCGGGCCGGCGGGCCUCUCUGUCUGACCUGACUGACCUGGAGGACAUUGAAGGUCUGACCGUGCGGCAGCUGAAAGAGAUCCUGGCGCGCAACUUCGUCAACUACAAGGGCUGCUGUGAGAAGUGGGAGCUGAUGGAGAGGGUGACGCGGCUGUACAAGGACCAGAAGGGGCUCCAGCACCUGGUGUGUGGUGCUGAAGACCAAAACGACGGAGCGGUGCCGCCCAGCAUGGAAGAGAACCUGUGCAGGAUCUGCAUGGACUCACCCAUUGACUGUGUCCUGCUGGAGUGCGGCCACAUGGUCACCUGCACCAAGUGCGGCAAGCGCAUGAACGAGUGUCCCAUCUGCCGGCAGUACGUGAUCCGAGCCGUGCACGUCUUCCGAUCCUGAGGGCUGGCGCCGGCUUCUUCAGUGCCUUACAGGGAUGGAGCUGGAAGGGUCUGGGCUCCAGAUUGGCUAGCUUGCAGAGGGGCAGGCUAACAAGAGAAUCUUCGAGCAAAGAUGCGGUCACCUCUGGGCAUGCCUGUCCUGCCUCGGCGGCACACCUCUCAGCCGGCGGAGCCCGAGGCUGGUGGGAACUGGUACAGAUCGCGUGGGCAAGUCCCUGGUUCCAGUGAUCUUGGGGUAAUGAUGGUAAUUGAUGAAGAGAGGAUUUUUCCAGAACUUGGACCAGAUCUUCCUCCCUUCCUCUGUAAACUUAACAGUUUUCCCCUUCCCCCCGCACCCCAGCCAUCCCUGAGCGGCCUGUCUGCAUUCCAACCGUCAGAAGUCCUGGUAGAAAUGGUUCUCUUCCUCCCCAGCACAUUUGGAUUUCUUUCUGGUCUCUCUGGCUUUCUGUGCUUUAACCAGCUUUGCUAGUCUCUUGCUGCAUUGCCUAACAUUCGUUUCUUCAGAUCAAAAAGAUGUUAGCUUACCAGACCAAUAGUGAUCCUCCUUAGGACUAAAUUUGGACCAGUAAACUUUCUCUGGUGAGAAAUGAAACACAAAUGCUAUUGAAAAAUUUCAAAGUCAUUUACAGGUUGCUUCCUUAAGUGCUGGGAUUGGAAGCAGUUGAGUCUCCUGACCGAACCUUGGGAGCCAGCAAAGAAAGCAUCUGCAGGGAAGUUUGAGUCGUGUGUGUGAGAUGGCCCGGGGAUCAUCUCUGCUGCUCUUAGGGCCUGUGCGCCAUCCUUAAUUUUAGUUUAUGAGAAAAGGGAAAGUUUUGGGCGGAAGCAGUGGCUUCCUGCUUAACUUUGACUUCUCCAUCACAAAGGAAUUGCAGACGACUUUCCCCAGAGAAUGAAGUCCUUCUCUUCCCCACGGAGGUUUUAAACAGGGUCUCACUGAAGGCAUAAAGACUAAGGUGAGGAGCCUUGCUCUUCUCCAGCCACACUUUUUGUGAAGUUCCUGGAGACCAAAACUGAACAGCCAAGGGGUAUCUGAAGGUACUGAAUGAGACUGGAUUCAGCCCUGGGGCAGACAGCUCCAAGUCUUAAUUCCCCAGGUUAGUGGGGACUCCCUGCUCCCAUUUCCUUUCUCAGCCUACUGACUUGAGGGCAGGUCUGGAAGAAGCAUUCUCCAGGCCCUUUAGGAAAGACCGUACAAUGAGUUGGAUAUUCUCAAGCCCUCUUAGGGUGGUUCUACCACUGGAAGAGCCAAAGGGCUUAAGUUUGCUGGAGAAGCUUAGCCAAGAACAGACACAUGCUAUCAGAAGGAGCUGUGUGGGCUGCCAUUACCUGUGGGUGAGCUACGCAACCCCAAUGCACCUGAGGGCCUUGGCAGGCCACCCCGCACCCCAUCCCAUCCCUGCUAUGCAGUCAAGUUCUCUCAGACUGGAACCAGUCAGGAUGUUGGAAAACAGUGGGAAACCUCCAAGGGGACCUGCUUAUUGGUACAGACAUACUUUGGCUUUCCCCCGUCAUCAACCAUUGUUCCCCUUUGGAGGAAUGAAAUUUAUUUCGUAAAGUAGCUGUCAGUUGCACACUGGGCCACUUACCUCGACAUCAUACCAAGUCCUGGAUGCUUUGAUUCUGGGACAGCCUUUGUAGGAAUCGGGCGAAUCAAGAGAGAGGACUGCUUAGAGGACGUUUCACCUUUUUGCUGGACAUAGUACAUACUACAGUUUACAAUGCCUACCAGUUCAGCAGAGGAUUCAGCUACUUCUCGAUUCCGCUGUGAAACAGGUCUCUCUCUGUAUAAUGCAACUCAGUUACAAUCUAGUCAUAACUUCAGGGCAGAAGCUGGCUCUUUCCCUACUUAAAACUUUUCACUGCUGAGGCCUUACCUCUCCCUACCUCCCACAUUCCCUCCUAGACAGAAGUUAAAAAUAUCCUGAAGGUUGUUUAGUAACCUCAGUAAGAAUUAGAACUGGUAUCAUUUGCUCAGUUUGGAGAAAGAACUUGCCCCUCAAUCUCUUUUGGUGAAGGUUUCCAUUCAGGAAAAAAGGUGUCUAACAACCCUGAUUUGUUGUUAUUCAUCAUUAUUACACCAAAUAAAGGCUGGGAUCCCAUUUCAGUUACUAUCUAACCUAGGUAGAAAACUUUUUAUCUGAGUGCUCUCCCUUGCCCCUCAUGGAUCCUUGGUCUUAAUUAUCAUGCAACAUCUUAAUUCUUCCAGUUACUCUGUGGCUUUGGCUGUGAUUGUUCUGAGAUUUCAUUUGAGACUUGUUUUAAGACUUGGGAGAGCCGACUGGUUCAUAAUGCCUUGGAAUGGCUGGAUCCGAGCUAGUAACAAUAAGCUGUACGGGAAUCCGUGCACUAUGCUGUACGAAUUUGAAAUCUUUCAGAUGUGGCUUAUAUUAAGAUUCUCUCAGACUUCCUUGGGUGUUAAACCCAAAUGUGUAUUUUUUUUGUUACAGAGCUCUGCUUUAUAAUUUUGUAAUAAAAUUUCACUACAGAUGCCUGUCUGAUCUGGUGGAGGACACCAGAGGUCUGACAGUUAAGACUGACAAGAGAGUUGACAGACCACAGGCUGGUCCCAGGCUCCUGAGAGACCGCAUUAGUUGUGGAGGUACUUGGGCCAUGUGGCCAUGUGGCCAUUCCCGUUCCAACAGAUGAGGAAACGGAAGUUCGGUCGUGUUUUGACUUGCUCGAGAUCUCACAACUAGGACGUGGGAGCUGCCAUGGCAUAGCCUAGAGGAUGGGAACUGUGUAGCAAAAGGACCAGCCUUAAGACCAAGGAAGAAACACCAAGUGAGGUCAGACGUUGACACUUAUCGUGUAGAGAUGGGCCUUAAAGAUGUGGGUAGAGCGGACUCGGAGGCCAGCCAGCGUGCUCAGUUAAGUCUUCAGGUGACCCUGGGAGACCAAUGGUAGCUUUCGGAUACAGCUGCACAGCUGGUGUGCGCACGGGCCUGUGUGGGGAGAGCUUGAUUAUGUGCAGAUCUGCCUUGGAACUUGAGGGGAGAAGAGGAAGGAACCUUGCCCAGAGGCUGUGAAGGCUUGAGGCUGAGCUGCAGCACUCUGACCUCCUUGUUCUGUGCGGCUGACCCGCUGGGCACCCAGGACGACCUGCCGUCCAUUGCCAACCAGCAGCGUGAAAACAAAGGCUCAAAGGAGGGCAGGCCUCGAGCACGGUGCUGGGGAGGUUUAAGAUGCUGUUGCCUGCGGGGGGGCCGGGGGGGGCGGUAAUCCGUGGAAAUACAGGAUUGUAGACAAUAUAAUCUCAGCAGCAAAGAAAAACACGCCUGAAAAAGACCGGAAGGAACGAGACCGAACACCUUGAACAGGGAACUGGAGAACACACCCAGCAAGGCCGCGCCACUCCUGAGCUGCUCCCACAUGGCUGGCGGGGCUGCGGUGGUGCACCCUGAGUGAGAUGGACAAACGAGCCUGGCGACCUGUUGACAGCAAGAAAAAAAGAGAACAGACUCUCACGAGUCAGCAGAACUGAACUCCAGGGAGCCAGUCUGUGAGGAGGGGACCACCUGGGGGGCCUGCCCCAGCUGGGAGUGCGACAGCGACAGGCCGGCAUGCGGCCGUGGUGGGGCCCUGCCGGGAGCCGGGGAGGGAAGAGGCCCGGGCCCAGCUCGACACGACUGUGUGCCAGGCCCUGUGCCGGGUGCUUCACGUAAGGUAGCCUGAGUUCGUCUGCUCUUGGAAGCAGCCUGCAGAUCCGGGGGCGGACAGAGGCCCCCAUGUUGAGUAACUCAGAUGUGAACCAGGCCCGGCCCGGCCCCGCACUGGCCAAGGGGCAGUUCGUAGCCACACGUGACCAUGUUAAGGCUGAAGUAAAACCAGAACUUCAGUUCCUCAAUUGUGUCAGCUGCUGAGCACCUGACGUGUGGCUACGUGUGGCUAAGUGUGCCUAGUUUCUUUUGGCCAGUGAAGAUUUACAGGGUGUUUCCAUUGCCACAGAAAGUUCUACUGAACAGCACUCCUCUCCACGAAACUGUUUGCCUUUUAUUCCAAUAAACCAGCCUCGGGUGGCACAGGAGCCUUUCUUGGUAAGGAGGCUGUAUAGGUUUUGUCCUCGAGUGGGUUUUUUAAUCUUAAAGACCAGUCUUGUUUCCACAUUUGGGGGAGGCAGAGCCUCCUGGAGUCCUAUAUCCCCCAGAGGAGUAGCUCUAAUAACCUCCCUUUUCUUUAUAAAGGACCCGUUUUCCUACCUGAUCCUGGUUCCCUCCCUUCAAACUGGGACCCACACCCUGUAAGAGGAGAACACAGAGAAUAAAGUCAUAAAAUUCA